UCGAGGGGUAUAGGUUUUCGGACCUAGAGACCGGCGCACGGGUGCGUAACGCGUAUGCAAUCUACCUUUUACAGAGGGAUAGCCCAGAGAAAUUUGGAUUAAUACCUCAUAGUAUUAUUGAAUGGCAUCAUUUAAUAAUUAAAGUCACAACGGUAAAAGAUGAGCAUGCGUCCCAUUAGCUUGUUGGUAAGGUAACGGCUUACCAAGGCAACGAUGGGUAGGGGUCCUGAGAGGGAGAUCCCCCACACUGGUACUGAGACACGGACCAGACUCCUACGGGAGGCAGCAGUGAGGAAUAUUGGUCAAUGGGCGCAAGCCUGAACCAGCCAUGCCGCGUGCAGGAUGAAGCAUCUAUGGUGUGUAAACUGCUUUUGUACGAGAAGAAACACUCCUACGUGUAGGAGCUUGACGGUAUCGUAAGAAUAAGGACCGGCUAACUCCGUGCCAGCAGCCGCGGUAAUACGGAGGGUCCAAGCGUUAUCCGGAAUCAUUGGGUUUAAAGGGUCCGUAGGCGGUUUUGUAAGUCAGUGGUGAAAGCCCAUCGCUCAACGGUGGAACGGCCAUUGAUACUGCAAGACUUGAAUUAUUGGGAAGUAACUAGAAUAUGUAGUGUAGCGGUGAAAUGCUUAGAGAUUACAUGGAAUACCAAUUGCGAAGGCAGGUUACUACCAAUAUAUUGACGCUGAUGGACGAAAGCGUGGGGAGCGAACAGGAUUAGAUACCCUGGUAGUC
rnacentral:rRNA from 1 species